UGCGAAUGGCUCAUUAUAUAAGUUAUCGUUUAUUUGAUAGUACCUUACUACUUGGAUAACCGUGGUAAUUCUAGAGCUAAUACAUGCUAAAAAUCCCGACUUCGGAAGGGAUGUAUUUAUUAGAUUAAAAACCAAUGCCCCCCGGGGCUCUCUGGUGAUUCAUGAUAACUUCUCGAAUCGCACGGCCUUGCGCCGGCGAUGGUUCAUUCAAAUUUCUUCCCUAUCAACUUUCGAUGUUUGGGUAGUGGCCAAACAUGGUUGCAACGGGUAACGGAGGGUUAGGGCUCGACCCCGGAGAAGGAGCCUGAGAAACGGCUACUACAUCCAAGGAAGGCAGCAGGCGCGCAAAUUACCCAAUCCCGAUUCGGGGAGGUAGUGACAAUAAAUACUGAUACAGGGCUCUUUCGGGUCUUGUAAUUGGAAUGAGUACAAUUUAAAUCCCUUAACGAGGAACAAUUGGAGGGCAAGUCUGGUGCCAGCAGCCGCGGUAAUUCCAGCUCCAAUAGCGUAUAUUAAAGUUGUUGUGGUUAAAAAGCUCGUAGUUGAACCUUGGGCCUGGCUGGCCGGUCCGCCUCACCGCGUGUCACUGGUCCGGCCGGGUCUUUCCCUCUGUGGAACCACAUGCCCUUCACUGGGCGUGGCGGGGAAACAGGACUUUUACUUUGAAAAAAUUAGAGUGCUCCAGGCAGGCCUAUGCUCGAAUACAUUAGCAUGGAAUAAUGAAAUAGGACGUGCGGUUCUAUUUUGUUGGUUUCUAGGACCGCCGUAAUGAUUAAUAGGGACAGUCGGGGGCAUCAGUAUUCAAUUGUCAGAGGUGAAAUUCUUGGAUUUAUUGAAGACUAACUACUGCGAAAGCAUUUGCCAAGGAUGUUUUCAUUAAUCAGGAACGAAAGUUAGGGGAUCGAAGACGAUCAGAUACCGUCGUAGUCUUAACCAUAAACUAUGCCGACUAGGGAUCGGACGAUGUUAUUUAGUUGACUCGUUCGGCACCUUACGAGAAAUCAAAGUG
rnacentral:rRNA from 1 species